rnacentral:rRNA from 1 species
UACAUGGGGUGCAAACGUUGCUCGGAAUUAUUGGGCGUAAAGCGCACGUAGGUGGUCUGUUAUGUCAGAUGUGAAAGCCCUCGGCUUAACUGAGGAAGUGCACCUGAAACUGGCAGGCUUGAGUACGAAAGAGGGUCGCGGAAUUCCCGGUGUAGAGGUGAAAUUCGUAGAUAUUCGGAAGAACACCAGUGGCGAAGGCGGCUCACUGGACCGGUAUUGACGCUGAGGUGCGAAAGCGUGGGGAGCAAACAGG